rnacentral:misc_RNA from 1 species
GGAAGUAAAAGUCGUAACACGGUUUCCGUAGGUGAACCUGCGGAAGGAUCAUUAAAGAGAAUAUGCCCUUCGGGGUAGAUCUCCCACCCUUUGUUUAUAUUACCUUUGUUGCUUUGGCAGGCCCGUCUUCGGACCACCGGCUUCGGCUGGUCAGUGCUUGCCAGAGGACCCAAAACUCUUAUUAUUAAUGUCGUCUGAGUACUAUAUAAUAGUUAAAACUUUCAACAACGGAUCUCUUGGUUCUG